UGUGUGCCCUUAUUAUGGUUGGGAUUUUUUAGAUCAGCAGUUAUUGCUAUAUAGCCAUAUUUAUAAAUCUUCUACUGGCCUACUAAGUCCCAACAUAAUGAGAGUAAA